UACAGGGGGUGCAAACGUUGCUCGGAAUUAUUGGGCGUAAAGCGCGCGUAGGCGGCCGUUUAAGUCGGAUGUGAAAGCCCCUGGCUCAACUGGGGAAGUGCACCCGAAACUGAAUGGCUUGAGUACUAAAGAGGGUCGCGGAAUUCCCGGUGUAGAGGUGAAAUUCGUAGAUAUCGGGAGGAACACCGGUGGCGAAGGCGGCAUCCUGGACCGGCAUUGACGCUGAGGCGCGAAAGCCAGGGGAGCAAACGGG
rnacentral:rRNA from 1 species